ACGGAAGGCAGCAGUGAGGAAUAUUGGUCAAUGGACGAGAGUCUGAACCAGCCAAGUAGCGUGCAGGAUGACGGCCCUAUGGGUUGUAAACUGCUUUUGUACGGGAAUAAAGUGACCUACGUGUAGGUUUUUGCAUGUACCGUAAGAAUAAGGACCGGCUAAUUCCGUGCCAGCAGCCGCGGUAAUACGGAAGGUCCGGGCGUUAUCCGGAUUUAUUAGGUUUAAAGGGUGCGCAGGCGGGACAUUAAGUCGGUGGUGAAAUACCGUGGCCCAACCACGGGGCUGCCAUCGAUACUGAUGACCUUGAGUGCGUGUGACGUAGGCGGAAUGUGGAGUGUAGCGGUGAAAUGCUUAGAUAUUCCACAGAACACCGAUUGCGAAGGCAGCCUACGAAUGCGUAACUGACGCUCAUGCACGAAAGCGCGGGUAGCGAACAGGAUUAGAUACCCUGGUA
rnacentral:rRNA from 1 species